rnacentral:rRNA from 1 species
UACGGAGGGGGCGAGCGUUGUCCGAAGUUACUGGGCGUAAAGCGCGCGUAGGCGGGUUGGUAAGUCCGCUGUGAAAGCCCGGAGCUUAACUCCGGAGGGUCGGUGGAUACUGCCAGUCUUGAAGGUGCUAGGGGGAGAUGGAAUUACCGGUGUAGUGGUGAAAUGCGUAGAUAUCGGUAGGAACACCAGUGGCGAAGGCGGUCUCCUGGGGCAUUCUUGACGCUGAGGCGCGAAAGCUGGGGGAGCAAACGGG